AGCGAACGCUGGCGGCAGGCUUAACACAUGCAAGUCGAGCGCACGUAGCAAUACGUGAGCGGCAGACGGGAGAGUAACACGUGGGAACGUACCCUUCGGUUCGGAAUAACUCAGGGAAACUUGAGCUAAUACCGGAUACGUCCGAAAGGAGAAAGAUUUAUCGCCGAGGGAUCGGCCCGCGUCCGAUUAGCUUGUUGGUGGGGUAAUGGCCCACCAAGGCGACGAUCGGUAGCUGGUCUGAGAGGAUGAUCAGCCUCACUGGGACUGAGACACGGCCCAGACUCCUACGGGAGGCAGCAGUGGUGAAUAUUGGACAAUGGGCGCAAGCCUGAUCCAGCCAUGCCGCGUGGGUGAUGAAGGCCUUAGGGUUGUAAAGCCCUUUCGGCGGGGAAGAUAAUGACGGUACCCGCAGAAGAAGCCCCGGCUAACUUCGUGCCAGCCGCCGCUGUAACAC
rnacentral:rRNA from 1 species